UAGUGAAUCUUCCGCAAUGGACGCAAGUCUGACGGAGCAACGCCGCGUGAGUGAAGAAGGAUUUCGGUUCGUAAAACUCUGUUGUUAGAGAAGAACAGCGCAUAGAGUAACUGUUAUGCGUGUGACGGUAUCUAACCAGAAAGCCACGGCUAACUACGUGCCAGCAGCCGCGGUAAUACGUAGGUGGCAAGCGUUGUCCGGAUUUAUUGGGCGUAAAGCGAGCGCAGGCGGUCAAUUAAGUCUGAUGUGAAAGCCCCCGGCUCAACCGGGGAGGGUCAUUGGAAACUGGUUGACUUGAGUGCAGAAGAGGAGAGUGGAAUUCCAUGUGUAGCGGUGAAAUGCGUAGAUAUAUGGAGGAACACCAGUGGCGAAGGCGACUCUCUGGUCUGUAACUGACGCUGAGGCUCGAAAGCGUGGGUAGCAAACAGG
rnacentral:rRNA from 1 species